GUUAAACUGGAUGCUGGUGAAGCUGGUAUUUAUGCUGGUCUAACAGCAGUCUUGCUGGCUAAACUGAAACAGACACAGACAGACAGAGAGGGCGGGACACGGCCGGACGGCGAGACGGCAGUGGUUGAAACAAAGCGGUAUGUUUUGACUGGCACUAACGGCACAACGGUUGAGGAGUGAAGAUCAGUUGAGCGUUUCUGUGACUCCGCCCAGCGGCUGCUCUUCUGAGAGGCACCGCUCUGACAGCUCUGUCUACUGGGAAACGCGCUAAAAGUCCUUCUGGAGGCUUUGCAUUUGAACUCCUAUGACUGGCUGCGGACUUGAAGGGAAUGACUUCCUGGACUUCCUGACAUCCAGGAAAAUUUUUUAUUGGACAGUAGAGAUCUAAUGGAAAGUGGAGAGGGAGGAGAUGAUAUGCAGCAAAAGGCCGAGCCGGAUGGUUGCUG